rnacentral:rRNA from 1 species
CCCUUAGAUGUUCUGGGCUGCACGCGCGCUACACUGAUGCGCUCAACGAGUUUAUAACCUUGUCCGGCAGGAUUGGGUAAUCUUUUUAAAACGCAUCGUGAUGGGGAUAGAUUAUUGCAAUUAUUAAUCUUCAACGAGGAAUUCCUAGUAAGCGCGGGUCAUCAUCCCGCGCUGAAUACGUCCCUGCCCUUUGUACACACCGCCCGUCGCUCCUACCGAUUGAGUGGUCCGGUGAGGCUUUGGGAUCUGAGCGGAAAGAGCGUUUCGCUGUUUCUGCUCGGAAAACUCAGUCGAACCUUAUCAUUUAGAGGAAGGAGAAGUCGUAACA